rnacentral:rRNA from 1 species
UACAGAGGGCCCAAGCGUUGUUCGGAUUCACUGGGCGUAAAGGGUGCGUAGGCGGCCGGGUAAGUCUGCUGUGAAAUCCCGGGGCUCAACCUCGGAAUGGCAUUCAAUACUGCUUCGCUAGAGUACUGGAGAGGAGGCUGGAAUUUACGGUGUAGCAGUGAAAUGCGUAGAUAUCGUAAGGAAGGCCGGUGGCGAAAGCGAGCCUCUGGACAGUUACUGACGCUGAUGCACGAAGGCCAGGGGAGCAAACGGG